rnacentral:rRNA from 1 species
CGGUUAAGUUAGAAAGGGCGCACGGUGGAUGCCUUGGCACUAGGAGCCGAUGAAGGACGGGACGAACACCGAUAUGCUUCGGGGAGCUGUAAGCAAGCUUUGAUCCGGAGAUUUCCGAAUGGGGAAACCCACCACUCGUAAUGGAGUGGUAUCCAUAUCUGAAUACAUAGGAUAUGAGAAGGCAGACCCGGGGAACUGAAACAUCUAAGUACCCGGAGGAAGAGAAAGCAAAUGCGAUUCCCUGAGUAGCGGCGAGCGAAACGGGACCAGCCCAAACCAAGAGGCUUGCCUCUUGGGGUUGUAGGACACUCUGUACGGAGUUACAAAGGAACGAGGUAGAUGAAGAGGUCUGGAAAGGCCCGCCAUAGAAGGUAACAGCCCUGUAGUCAAAACUUCGUUCUCUCCUGAGUGGAUCCUGAGUACGGCGGAACACGUGAAAUUCCGUCGGAAUCCGGGAGGACCAUCUCCCAAGGCUAAAUACUCCCUAGUGACCGAUAGUGAACCAGUACCGUGAGGGAAAGGUGAAAAGCACCCCGGAAGGGGAGUGAAAGAGAUCCUGAAACCGUGUGCCUACAAGUAGUCAGAGCCCGUUAACGGGUGAUGGCGUGCCUUUUGUAGAAUGAACCGGCGAGUUACGAUCCCGUGCAAGGUUAAGCAGAAGAUGCGGAGCCGCAGCGAAAGCGAGUCUGAAUAGGGCGAAUUGAGUACGUGGUCGUAGACCCGAAACCAGGUGAUCUACCCAUGUCCAGGGUGAAGUUCAGGUAACACUGAAUGGAGGCCCGAACCCACGCACGUUGAAAAGUGCGGGGAUGAGGUGUGGGUAGGGGUGAAAUGCCAAUCGAACCUGGAGAUAGCUGGUUCUCUCCGAAAUAGCUUUAGGGCUAGCCUCAAGGUAAGAGUCUCGGAGGUAGAGCACUGAUUGGACUAGGGGCCCCUACCGGGUUACCGAAUUCAGUCAAACUCCGAAUGCCGAUGACUUAUCCUUGGGAGUCAGACUGCGAGUGAUAAGAUCCGUAGUCGAAAGGGAAACAGCCCAGACCGCCAGCUAAGGUCCCAAAGUAUACGUUAAGUGGAAAAGGAUGUGGAGUUGCUUAGACAACCAGGAUGUUGGCUUAGAAGCAGCCACCAUUUAAAGAGUGCGUAAUAGCUCACUGGUCGAGUGACUCUGCGCCGAAAAUGUACCGGGGCUAAACGUAUCACCGAAGCUGCGGACUGUUCUUCGAACAGUGGUAGGAGAGCGUUCUAAGGGCUGUGAAGCAAGACCGGAAGGACUUGUGGAGCGCUUAGAAGUGAGAAUGCCGGUAUGAGUAGCGAAAGAGGAGUGAGAAUCCCCUCCACCGAAUGCCUAAGGUUUCCUGAGGAAGGCUCGUCCGCUCAGGGUUAGUCGGGACCUAAGCCGAGGCCGAAAGGCGUAGGCGAUGGAUAACAGGUUGAUAUUCCUGUACCACCUCCUCACCAUUUGAGCAAUGGGGGGACGCAGGAGGAUAGGGUAAGCGCGGUAUUGGAUAUCCGCGUCCAAGCAGUUAGGCUGGGAAAUAGGCAAAUCCGUUUCCCGUGAAGGCUGAGCUGUGAUGGCGAGCGAAUUAUAGUAGCGAAGUUCCUGAUUCCACACUGCCAAGAAAAGCCUCUAGCGAGGUGAGAGGUGCCCGUACCGCAAACCGACACAGGUAGGCGAGGAGAGAAUCCUAAGGUGAUCGAGAGAACUCUCGUUAAGGAACUCGGCAAAAUGACCCCGUAACUUCGGGAGAAGGGGUGCUCUGUUAGGGUGCAAGCCCGAGAGAGCCGCAGUGAAUAGGCCCAGGCGACUGUUUAGCAAAAACACAGGUCUCUGCGAAGCCGUAAGGCGAAGUAUAGGGGCUGACGCCUGCCCGGUGCUGGAAGGUUAAGAGGAGCGCUUAGCGUAAGCGAAGGUGCGAAUUGAAGCCCCAGUAAACGGCGGCCGUAACUAUAACGGUCCUAAGGUAGCGAAAUUCCUUGUCGGGUAAGUUCCGACCCGCACGAAAGGCGCAACGAUCUGGGCACUGUCUCAACGAGAGACUCGGUGAAAUUAUAGUACCUGUGAAGAUGCAGGUUACCCGCGACAGGACGGAAAGACCCCGUGGAGCUUUACUGCAGCCUGAUAUUGAAUGUUGGUACAGCUUGUACAGGAUAGGUAGGAGCCUUGGAAACCGGAGCGCCAGCUUCGGUGGAGGCAUCGGUGGGAUACUACCCUGGCUGUAUUGACCUUCUAACCCGCCGCCCUUAUCGGGCGGGGAGACAGUGUCAGGUGGGCAGUUUGACUGGGGCGGUCGCCUCCUAAAAGGUAACGGAGGCGCCCAAAGGUUCCCUCAGAAUGGUUGGAAAUCAUUCGCAGAGUGUAAAGGCACAAGGGAGCUUGACUGCGAGACCUACAAGUCGAGCAGGGACGAAAGUCGGGCUUAGUGAUCCGGUGGUUCCGCAUGGAAGGGCCAUCGCUCAACGGAUAAAAGCUACCCCGGGGAUAACAGGCUUAUCUCCCCCAAGAGUCCACAUCGACGGGGAGGUUUGGCACCUCGAUGUCGGCUCAUCGCAUCCUGGGGCUGUAGUCGGUCCCAAGGGUUGGGCUGUUCGCCCAUUAAAGCGGUACGCGAGCUGGGUUCAGAACGUCGUGAGACAGUUCGGUCCCUAUCCGUCGCGGGCGCAGGAAAUUUGAGAGGAGCUGUCCUUAGUACGAGAGGACCGGGAUGGACGCACCGCUGGUGUACCAGUUGUUCUGCCAAGGGCAUCGCUGGGUAGCUAUGUGCGGACGGGAUAAGUGCUGAAAGCAUCUAAGCAUGAAGCCCCCCUCAAGAUGAGAUUUCCCAUUCCGCAAGGAAGUAAGAUCCCUGAAAGAUGAUCAGGUUGAUAGGUCUGAGGUGGAAGUGUGGCGACACAUGGAGCUGACAGAUACUAAUCGAUCGAGGACUUAACCAAUUU